CCUGCUCAGAGCGAACGCUGGCGGCAGGCCUAACACAUGCAAGUCGAACGGACCCUUCGGGGUUAGUGGCGGACGGGUGAGUAACACGUGGGAACGUGCCUUUAGGUUCGGAAUAGCUCCUGGAAACGGGUGGUAAUGCCGAAUGUGCCCUUCGGGGGAAAGAUUUAUCGCCUUUAGAGCGGCCCGCGUCUGAUUAGCUAGUUGGUGAGGUAAUGGCUCACCAAGGCGACGAUCAGUAGCUGGUCUGAGAGGAUGACCAGCCACAUUGGGACUGAGACACGGCCCAAACUCCUACGGGAGGCAGCAGUGGGGAAUCUUGCGCAAUGGGCGAAAGCCUGACGCAGCCAUGCCGCGUGAAUGAUGAAGGUCUUAGGAUUGUAAAAUUCUUUCACCGGGGACGAUAAUGACGGUA
rnacentral:rRNA from 1 species